rnacentral:rRNA from 1 species
UACGGGGGGGGCGAGCGUUGUUCGGAAUCACUGGGCGUAAAGGGCGCGUAGGCGGCCCGCACAAGUCUGCGGUGAAAACCUCCGGCUUAACCGGGGGCCGGCCGUGGAAACUGUCGGGCUGGAGGCUGGGAGAGGGCAGCGGAAUUCCUGGUGUAGCGGUGGAAUGCGCAGAUAUCAGGAGGAACACCGGUGGCGAAGGCGGGUCUCUGGGCAGUAACUGACGCUGAGGAGCGAAAGCGUGGGGAGCGAACAGG